rnacentral:rRNA from 1 species
UACGUAGGGUGCGAGCGUUAAUCGGAAUUACUGGGCGUAAAGCGUGCGCAGGCGGCGCGUUAAGACAGGGGUGAAAUCCCGGAGCUCAACUCCGGAACUGCCUUUGAUACUGGCAAUCUAGAGACUGGAAGAGGUUAGUGGAAUUCCCAGUGUAGAGGUGAAAUUCGUAGAUAUUGGGAAGAACACCAGUGGCGAAGGCGGCUAACUGGUCCAGUACUGACGCUGUGGUGCGAAAGCGUGGGGAGCAAACAGG